UAAUUAAAUUAUAGAGAUCAGAGAGAAAGUAGACUUGCUACCACUUAUAAAUAUGGACGUUAGGUCCUGGGAUUGAGUUAUCAUCACAACUAUCUACCAUUGGCAUCAUGGCGUACUAUUACAUAUUACCAUCGAAUCAAAUUGUAAACUCUCGCGGCGCCACUCUUUAUUGCGGCAACAAUGAUGGUGGUGAUUAUGCUAACUACGUAAUCAAUAAAACAUAUGAGAUGAUGUCGACAGGACAAAUCGAGCACAUUAAUUUCCAGCAUAACGUAGGAGGACGCGUUAACGUCCAGGUGAAUGGAGGAGGAGGAGGCGGUGGUGGUGGUGGAGGAGGAGAUGGUUGUGGAGGAGGACGCGGCGGUGACCAAAGAGUCUUUAUUGGGGGGAAUUACUGAUCUACGAAGGAAAAUGAUUGAGUAAAAGGGUUGCUUAUCUGCUAUUUGUUUGUGCUGAUGAAUACUGACUAGUGUGUUGCAUUGUGGUAAUUAUUAGCAUGAUUUCGGAAUAAAUUGAGGUGAGAAAAUAAGCUUGUUA